CCAGCGUAAGUUGGCCCAUUGCACAUUUUACUUACCCUAGGUCUCGCCUUAACCACUCCAUUUAACCAUCACUCACUUUAACCACUCUCAAGCACUCUUCGAAGCAUUUUCUCCACUUUUGCCUUCACUGCCUUAGAAAAACCCUUCCUCCACCAUUUUUGUACCAAUCCUUCAUCCAAGUUUGGGGUUUUGUGAGAGCACAACAGUUUGAGAUUGGUUCCUUCACAUUCAUUGGGUAUCUUGCACACAUUUGAGUAUCUCCA
rnacentral:lncRNA from 1 species